rnacentral:rRNA from 1 species
AGUCGAACGAAGUAGCAAUACUUAGUGGCAGACGGGUGAGUAACAUGUAGGUAUCUUCCCUUUGGUGAGGAAUAACACGAGGAAACUUGUGCUAAUACCUCAUAAGUCUUUACGGAGAAAGCUUUACGCGCCAAUGGAUGAGCCUGCACUUGAUUAGUUUGUUGGUAGGGUAAUGGCCUACCAAGACUAUGAUCAAUAGCUGAUUUGAGAGGAUGAUCAGCCACAUUGGGACUGAGACACGGCCCAAACUCCUACGGGAGGCAGCAGUAGGGAAUCUUGCACAAUGGGGGAAACCCUGAUGCAGCGAUGCCGCGUGAGUGAAGAAGGCCUUUGGGUUGUAAAGCUCUUUCGUCGGGGAAGAAAAUGACUGUACCCGAAUAAGAAGGUCCGGCUAACUUCGUGCCAGCAGCCGCGGUAAUACGAAGGGACCUAGCGUAGUUCGGAAUUACUGGGCUUAAAGAGUUCGUAGGUUGUUAAAAAAGUUGGUGGUGAAAUCCCAGAGCUUAACUCUGGAACUGCCAUCAAAACUUUUUAGCUAGAGUAUGAUAGAGGAAAGCAGAAUUUCUAGUGUAGAGGUGAAAUUCGUAGAUAUUAGAAAGAAUACCAAUUGCGAAGGCAGCUUUCUGGAUCAUUACUGACACUGAGGAACGAAAGCAUGGGUAGCGAAGAGGAUUAGAUACCCUCGUAGUCCAUGCCGUAAACGAUGUGUGUUAGACGUUGGAAAUUUAUUUUCAGUGUCGCAGCGAAAGCAAUAAACACACCCGCCUGGGGAGUACGACCGCAAGGUUAAAACUCAAAUGAAUUUGACGGGGACCCC